UACGUAGGGUGCAAGCGUUAUCCGGAAUUAUUGGGCGUAAAGAGCUCGUAGGCGGUUUGUCGCGUCUGCUGUGAAACCCGAGGCUCAACCUCGGGCCUGCAGUGGGUACGGGCAGACUAGAGUGCGGUAGGGGAGAUUGGAAUUCCGUGGUGUAGCGGUGGAAUGCGCAGAUAUCAGGAGGACACCGAUGGCGAAGGCAGAUCUCUGGGCCGU
rnacentral:rRNA from 1 species